AUUAAAAAAAAAAAAGAUUCUGUACAUCCUAGCCCUAGCCGGGUAAACAGAGUUUACUGUUUGAAUGAGACGUCAACUGAUAGCAUUUUGGAAAGUGCAAAAUCACCACCACUGCUUUAAGACCUGUAAUUUUUGUAAAUGUUUCACGAACAUUUGAAACAACAAAGUCUUUUUUGGAAGUUCUAGCAAAUUUAUUAGCACUAGGGGGCUAACUUCUUUGGGUGUCAGCAGCUCAAAAAUAGUUAAGUUUACAGCAAAAGUGCAUUUAUUAGAAAAAACAGAGGUGCAUUUAUCCUUUUAGCCUUCAUUCUAGCUCGCAAACACUUCUGAUUAAAAUCUGACUUCUACUGUUGAAAGGGAGAUGUAAUUCUUUCUGAUCAAGUCAUUUUUACUAAGAGGAGCUAUGUGAUGCCUCAGGUAGCCAGUGAGGAGCCAGUGGGAAUGGUCUAGGUAAAUUCAACAAUGAGGAAAUGGUUGAUUAAAAACCGUUCAGAACACCAACACAUUUGGAGAAAUCUUCCAGUUAAUACCCUCAGUUUAUCACUGAAAUGUCCCAGAAGCUGUAGUCAGGAAUCAAAACUGGUUACACGCCAGGUUCCUGCUCUGAGGAGGUGGUCAGAUUUCCGCAGGCAAGAAAGGGUAGGGAAAGAAGACUUUCUCAAAUCCUGGUGUAUGUUUUUUGGACAUAAUCCGGAGUCGUGUUUGCCUCUGUACCCCCACUCUUUCCUGCUCUUCUGGGGGGAGCGAGCGGGGCUUCAGCCACCGGAACGAGAGUGAGGUACCUGGGUUUCUCGGAGGAGCUCUAGUCCUGAAACUAUGACUUCCAGAACCAAAGACAUCAGCCCCUUCCUGAGCGCCUGACCGCCCGCCUGCGCUCCUGCCCCACCGAGGACCGCUCCCGCGCGGGCCCCGGAAGGAACAAAAGCGGACGCGGCCGGCGCUCCGCAGCCGAGUCCUGAUCAACCUUCCCGGACCCCAAGCCCUCCUGCGACCUCUGCUUCCCGGCCCAGAGGACAGCUCGCCGUGCCUCCCCAACUGGGUCUCUAGCUAGCCGGCAGGAACUUCAUGAUUGCGCGCGGCCGCCUCCCUUCGGGCCCACCCCCUUCUCCCCGGCCGCUCUGGCGAGCCGGCGGCCACUCUAUGGCUGCGCCCGUCCCACCGGCCUGCUCUCCGCCCGCAGCUUCUGCAUGUCCUGGCCGCUCUGGCCCGCUUCGCGGGAGCUCUAUGGCUGCUCGGGGAAGUCCCCCACGCUCCGGCCGCUCUGGCACAUUGGCUGGCGUUCUCCACAGCUCUCGGCUAUUGAGGCUGGGCCGGCCCACGUGGCCGAAGGCUUCCUUCUUCUCUAGCGGAUGCCGGCGGCGCUACCACACUCUCCAGAACCGUCGCGGGUCUCUUGGGUGUGCGCCUACGCCGGGCCUACAGCAGGCCCGGCUCUCGUCGUCCAGCAGGGGGCGAGCGCAGGCCUGGGUGGUGUGGCCGCCGGGAAGGGCGGACCUGCAGAGCGACCUGAGGCCAGGAGCCUGCUUAAACGCAAUGGGAAGGCCACGAAGAGGCUACAGGGUGAGAAGCGAUGGGAGAGGCCAAGAAAGGAGACUGAUGCAGGUGUCCAGGUGCCCUUACAGCAACUAUCCGGGGACCUUGCAGCUUCCCAGGGAGAUACACUGUCACGUCGAGGAAGGAGCCUGAGCUCUUUGCCCUGACUGCCCUGCCUGCACUCAACUUUAAAGCUCGGCUCAGAAGUCACACUUGACCCUCUUAGGUCCAAAUGGCCAACACCAUUCUCGGUACCUAGCACGGAAAGGCAACGUGAAGCUUCCUGAAUAAGUGAAUACUUUUCAAAAGGCUAUGACUGCCUGUCAUUUACUCUGGAAAUGUAUUACCCAUGGCGGGGUGGCGGGUGGGAGCGUUUGAUACAAUGAUGAAGAUUAAAAGAUUAAACUAGA